GGUCUCCGGCGGCGGGGGCCCUUCAGUGCUGCCGAAGACGCGGGCCGCCCCGAAAAUGACAUUAAUGAUGCUUGUGUGAAGUUACCUGUUACUAACAGGUCAUUUGACAAUUCAUGCCACUAUGAGUCGUUUGGAGCAAGACUUAGAGAGUCCCUCCAUGUGCACAGUCACUCAAUUUUUAUUUUUAUUUUUCAUUUUUUUGCCUUCCACCAAAGGAUCUUAAGGAAUUUUUUCAGCAAACAUAGCAAGCGGAGCAAAGGUUCUUGGACUAGGAUAUAUUCAUUAACUAUGAGGGAUGAGCUGUGGAAUAAUUCCAGCAACAGAGAUGAGAUCCAGGUGACUGGAGGCUUGAGGUUCCAGAAGCAACCUGUGUAAGGGAGGGAGUGCACCAUUCAAUGGACACCCUCAAGUGAGAACCAGUCUAACACCACUUCUGGCUGCCCGUACGCUCCUGACUUCAUCCAUGACAAACAUUCCAGCUCCUUCCAGCAGCUGCUCAAUCAUCCUGCACCCCAGCGAUGAGCCCACUUGCUUUGCUUCUUGCCAUAAGUGUUAUAUAAAAAAU